rfam:Felis catus isolate Cinnamon breed Abyssinian chromosome C2, whole genome shotgun sequence.
GCCUGGCUGGCUCAGUUGGUAGAGCAUGUGACUUCUGAUCUCAGGCACAUGAGUUCAAACCCCAUGUUGGGCA